GGACCUUUGUCUGCUGAACUGUGGGGAUCCCUUUCCUCCUCAGGCAGGGCUCGAAGCCAAGAUCAGCCGCUGAGAAUUGUGGAUUAUUAUAAGGAUGGCCAUGAGUGGGGUUCGCCAUUUUCCUACCUCAGACAUUC